GGUUGAAUGGUCUAGUGGUUAUGAUCUCUGUCUCACACACAGAGGGUCUCCAGUUCGAUCCUGGAUUCAACCA
rnacentral:tRNA from 1 species